GGAUUGCACCCCCGCGGCUCGGCCCAAGCUGCUCUACCGUCGCUCCAUCGUCUCCCCAACUCCCCAGCGCCCCGGACCCUCUUUCCUCAUACCCUCGUUUCUCACCUUUCACCCUGUCCCUCGGCCCGCUUUUCGCCUCCCCGCUCUGUCCUGUCGUUUUCUUAACACUCUUCACAGGCGCACUUCCUCCUCCUCCUCUUCUCUUUUUCCCACCCCUACCCUUGGGCCCUCCUUCCUUAACCUCCGCUGGCCCCCCAUUCCAUGAUCCGUCCACCUGACACGCUGGGUUUCAUGCCUCUCUUUCCCAGGCUGUGGGUUGUGCCCUUCACUCCUUGCCCUCCUCCAUUCCCUGUCCUGAUCUGAACUCCUCUCCUUGCCACGCUCCCUCACCCUUAUCCCUCUGCACACUCCAAAAUUUUUAAAGAAAAAGGAGAGAGAGAAAAAAAGUAAAAGAAAAGAAACCCAAAAGGGAAAAUAUAGCUAAGGUGAACUGCAAAACCAUAUUCCUGCUGCUGUCAGUUAUGAUGCACUGAGAAAACUUCAGAGACCUAAGCUUUUUCCAGAGAAGAGAAGCUUUACUGGUGUUCCAGCCCUAAGAAACCUUUGUUCAACAAAACUGCAGAUGCUCUGUUGAAUCCACUGGAGAUUGUCCUCAUACUAAGGACAAGUAUCAACCAUCUUUCCUGUGAAAAAUUCCCUCUCCUAGUACUUUAGUUCUGUGGAUCCAAAAUUUAUAGCAUUCUUCUACCACCACAGGGGCUCAUAUGACAUUAACAGACAAGACACUUUUCAGAAAGACAG
rnacentral:antisense_RNA from 1 species